rnacentral:rRNA from 1 species
GCUCAGAGUAUAAGCCAAUGGAGCUUGGAAGGCUUCCACAUAUCUGGUUCAUCAUACGUGGUGUUCGCUAGGCAUGAAGCACGGUUCGUUAGGUGGAGCAUUGAGUUUGCCGCCCAACUGUCGUGCGGGGAGGAGGUUCGGGUGUCUCAGGCUUCGGCCGAAGGGCGCCCGGCCGUCUCCUUUUGAAUGAGCGUUCAGAGCUUCCAUGUCUAAUGUGGUUACGCCCACCACGGCCCGUUGUGAGGUCACCCACAGGCUCAAACUGCCGAUCGCGCAUCCAGGACGAUGUGGCAAUGACGCGUUGUGUUUUUGACUGGCUCUAUUGUUUUUGUGUCGGCUGUCACGCGUGCCUAGUCCUGGGUCGGGCGGCGACCGAGAUAAACCUGGUAUGAUCCUCUUGCGACGAGUUGCUUUCUGGCCAGACCGACGUCCAGGCGCUUCCACUGUGCCGGAAGCGUCAACCCCAGGCGGUGUGAACCCAGCUGCAUUACGCAAGGUCUCUCAGCCGGGCGUUGGUCUGAGUGGUGUUAAGUCCAGCACCGUCGGUCACGUCUCGAAACACGGGCCAAGGAGUAUAGCAUGUGUGCAAGUCUAAGGGUCUCCCAAAACCCGAAGGCGAAGUGAAAGCAAGACUGUGGCGGGGGAGCUACGGCGAACCCGCCGGCCAAGUGGCAGCGCUUGCGUUGCCCGGCUUAUAACAGAGCUGAUCCUGCUUUUUGUCGGUUAAUUCCUGGUGCAGGCGCAAGCUCCGGGCUCACGUACAACACCGGUGACGCCUCGUG